GGAGGGAUCAUUAAAGAGUUGAAAAACUCCCAAAACCACUGUGGACUAUACCUUUUAUCGUUGCUUCGGCGGUGAACGAGUUAGGGCCCUCCUCCUUCGGAGGGGGGAUCCGAACUGGUAAGCCGCCGGAGGUUACCUAAACUUUGUGUUUUUUAUAGUGUAUCUCUGAGUAUUAAAAAAAAAAAACAAGUCAAAACUUUCAACAACGGAUCUCUUGGUUCUGGCAUCGAUGAAGAACGCAGCGAAAUGCGAUAAGUAAUGUGAAUUGCAGAAUUCAGUGAAUCAUCGAAUCUUUGAACGCACAUUGCGCCCGCCAGUAUUCUGGCGGGCAUGCCUGUUCGAGCGUCAUUUCAACCCUCAAGCUCUCCGGAGUUUGGUGUUGGGGCGCCUGGGGCUUUUCGACCUCAGGGCCCUCAAGUCCAUCGGCGGGACCGCCCGGACACUGAGCGCAGUAGUACUAUUUCGCUCGGUGGAAUCUUCCAGGGCGGGUCGACCCGGCCGCUAAACUCCCCCAAUUCUAACCAAAGGUUGACCUCGGAUCAGGUAGGAAUACCCGCUGAACUUAAGCAUAUCAAUAAGCGGAGGAAAAGAAACCAACAGGGAUUGCCUCAGUAACGGCGAGUGAAGCGGCAACAGCUCAAAUUUGAAAUCUGGUCCCUUGGGGCCCGAGUUGUAAUUUGCAGAGGAUGCUUUCGGCGCGGCACCCACCGAGUCCCCUGGAAUGGGGCGCCACAGAGGGUGAGAGCCCCGUAUGGUGGGACGCCAAACCGGUGUAAAGCUCCUUCGACGAGUCGAGUAGUUUGGGAAUGCUGCUCAAAAUGGGAGGUAAAUUUCUUCUAAAGCUAAAUACCGGCCAGAGACCGAUAGCGCACAAGUAGAGUGAUCGAAAGAUGAAAAGCACCUUGAAAAGGGGGUUAAAUAGCACGUGAAAUUGUUGAAAGGGAAGCGCUUGUGACCAGACUCGCGCCGGGCGGAUCAUCCAGCGUUCUUCGCUGGUGCGCUCCGCCCGGCUCGGGCCAGCAUCGGUUCCACCCGGGGGACAAAAGCCGCGGGAACGUAGCUCUCUUCGGGGAGUGUUAUAGCCCGUAGCAGAAUACCCUGGGGGGGACCGAGGACCGCGCUUCGGCAAGGAUGCUGGCGUAAUGGUCACCAGCGUCCCGUCUUGAAACACGGACCAAGGAGUGCAUUUCCAUGGCGAGUGUUUGGGUGUAAAACCCGCACGCGUAAUGAAAGUGAACGUAGGUGAGAGCUUCGGCGCAUCAUCGACCGAUCCUGAUGUAUUCGGAUGGAUUUGAGUAAGAGCAUAGCUGUUGGGACCCGAAAGAUGGUGAACUAUGCCUGUAUAGGGUGAAGCCAGAGGAAACUCUGGUGGAGGCUCGCAGCGGUUCUGACGUGCAAAUCGAUCGUCAAAUAUGGGUAUAGGGGCGAAAGACUAAUCGAACCAUCUAGUAGCUGGUUCCUGC
rnacentral:misc_RNA from 1 species